rnacentral:rRNA from 1 species
UAAUAAUUUAUAUAAAAUAUUUUGAUGAAUAUUUAUAUAAUAUUAACAUAAUUCAUAUUACUAUAUAUUUUAGUAUAUGAAAUUUUACUUUGAGAAAAUUAGAGUGCUUAAAGCAGGCAUAUGCCUUGAAUACUCCAGCAUGGAAUAAUAUUAAAGAUUUUUAUCUUUCUUAUUGGUUCUAAGAUAAGAAUAAUGAUUAAUAGGGACAGUUGGGGGCAUUUGUAUUUAACAGUCAGAGGUGAAAUUCUUAGAUUUGUUAAAGACAAACUAAUGCGAAAGCAUUUGCCAAGGAUGUUUUCAUUAAUCAAGAACGAAAGUUAGGGGAUCGAAGACGAUCAGAUACCGUCGUAGUCUUAACCAUAAACUAUGCCAACUAGAGAUUGGAGGUUGUUCCUUACUCCUUCA